rnacentral:rRNA from 1 species
GUUUGACCUCGGAUCAGGUAGGGAUACCCGCUGAACUUAAGCAUAUCAAUAAGCGGAGGAAAAGAAACCAACAGGGAUUGCCUCAGUAACGGCGAGUGAAGCGGCAACAGCUCAAAUUUGAAAUCUGGCCUCGUCGGGGCCCGAGUUGUAAUUUGUAGAGGGUGUUUCGGGCGCGAUGCCGGUCUAAGUUCCUUGGAACAGGACGUCGUAGAGGGUGAGAAUCCCGUAUGCGACCGGCGAUCAAGCCCGUGCGAAGCCCCUUCGACGAGUCGAGUUGUUUGGGAAUGCAGCUCAAAAUGGGUGGUAAAUUUCAUCUAAAGCUAAAUACCGGCCAGAGACCGAUAGCGGACAAGUAGAGUGAUCGAAAGAUGAAAAGCACUUUGGAAAGAGAGUCAAACAGUACGUGAAAUUGUUGAAAGGGAAGCGCUUGCAAUCAGACCGGUCCGGAGGCGAUCAGCCGCUGCUCGUCAGCGGUGCACUCGCCUGCGAUCCGGCCAGCAUCGGUUUGGGCGGCGGGACAAAAGUCCCGGGAAUGUAGCUUCUCUCGGGGAGUCUUAUAGCCCGGGUCGCAAUGCCGCCCGCCCGGACCGAGGACCGCGCUUCGGCUAGGAUGCUGGCGUAAUGGUUGCAAGCGACCCGUCUUGAAACACGGACCAAGGAGUCUAACAUCUAUGCGAGUGUUUGGGUGUCAAACCCGGGCGCGGAAUGAAAGUGAACGGAGGUGGGAACCCGUCAGACGGCGCACCAUCGACCGAUCCAGAUGUCUUCGGAUGGAUUUGAGUAUGAGCAUAGCUGUUGGGACCCGAAAGAUGGUGAACUAUGCCCGGAUAGGGUGAAGCCAGAGGAAACUCUGGUGGAGGCUCGCAGCGGUUCUGACGUGCAAAUCGAUCGUCAAAUCUAGGCAUAGGGGCGAAAGACCAAUCGAACC